rnacentral:rRNA from 1 species
AGAGUUUGAUCAUGGCUCAGGACGAACGCUGGCGGUGUGCUUCACACAUGCAAGUCGAACGAGGUAGCAAUACCUAGUGGCGGACGGGUGAGUAACGCGUGGGAAUCUGCCUUUAGAUGGGGGAUAACGGGUCGAAAGACUCGCUAAUACCGCAUAUGACGAAAGUUGAAAGGAGUAAUCCGUCUAAAGAUGAGCCCGCGUCCGAUUAGCUAGUUGGUAGAGUAAAAGCCUACCAAGGCGACGAUCGGUAGCUGGUCUGAGAGGAUGAUCAGCCACAAUGGGACUGAGACACGGCCCAUACUCCUACGGGAGGCAGCAGUGGGAAUUUUACGCAAUGGGCGAAAGCCUGACGUAGCGACACCGCGUGAGCGAAGAAGCCCCUUGGGGUGUAAAGCUCUGUCAGCUGGAACGAAAAAAUGACGGUACCAGCAGAGGAAGCAUCGGCUAACUACGUG